rnacentral:rRNA from 1 species
UUUAUGGAGAGUUUGAUCCUGGCUCAGGAUGAACGCUGGCGGCGUGCCUAAUACAUGCAAGUCGAGCGAACGGACGAGAAGUUUGCUUCUCUGAUGUUAGCGGCGGACGGGUGAGUAACACGUGGAUAACCUACCUAUAAGACUGGGAUAACUUCGGGAAACCGGAGCUAAUACCGGAUAAUAUUUUGAACCGCAUG